rnacentral:tRNA from 1 species
CAAGAAGUAGUUUAAUAAGAAUACCAGCUUUGGGUGCUGAUGGUGGGGGUUAUUCCUUCUUCUUGA